rnacentral:rRNA from 1 species
GAUUAAGUUAUUAAGGGCGCACGGUGGAUGCCUUGGCACUAGAAGCCGAUGAAGGACGUUACUAACGACGAUAUGCUUUGGGUAGCUGUAAGUAAGCGUUGAUCCAGAGAUUUCCGAAUGGGGGAACCCAGCAUGAGUUAUGUCAUGUUAUCGACAUGUGAAUUUAUAGCAUGUCAGAAGGCAGACCCGGAGAACUGAAACAUCUUAGUACCCGGAGGAAGAGAAAGAAAAAUCGAUUCCCUGAGUAGCGGCGAGCGAAACGGGAAGAGCCCAAACCAACAAGCUUGCUUGUUGGGGUUGUAGGACACUCUAUACGGAGUUACAAAAGAACAUGUUAGACGAAUCAUCUGGAAAGAUGAAUCAAAGAAGGUAAUAAUCCUGUAGUCGAAAACAUAUUCUCUCUUGAGUGGAUCCUGAGUACGACGGAGCACGUGAAAUUCCGUCGGAAUCUGGGAGGACCAUCUCCUAAGGCUAAAUACUCUCUAGUGACCGAUAGUGAACCAGUACCGUGAGGGAAAGGUGAAAAGUACCCCGGAAGGGGAGUGAAAGAGAACUUGAAACCGUGUGCUUACAAGUAGUCAGAGCCCGUUAAUGGGUGAUGGCGUGCCUUUUGUAGAAUGAACCGGCGAGUUACGAUCUGAUGCAAGGUUAAGCAGCAAAUGUGGAGCCGCAGCGAAAGCGAGUCUGAAUAGGGCGUUGAGUAUUUGGUCGUAGACCCGAAACCAGGUGAUCUACCCUUGGUCAGGUUGAAGUUCAGGUAACACUGAAUGGAGGACCGAACCGACUUACGUUGAAAAGUGAGCGGAUGAACUGAGGGUAGCGGAGAAAUUCCAAUCGAACUUGGAGAUAGCUGGUUCUCUCCGAAAUAGCUUUAGGGCUAGCCUCAAGUGAUGAUUAUUGGAGGUAGAGCACUGUUUGGACGAGGGGCCCCUCUCGGGUUACCGAAUUCAGACAAACUCCGAAUGCCAAUUAAUUUAACUUGGGAGUCAGAACAUGGGUGAUAAGGUCCGUGUUCGAAAGGGAAACAGCCCAGACCACCAGCUAAGGUCCCAAAAUAUAUGUUAAGUGGAAAAGGAUGUGGCGUUGCCCAGACAACUAGGAUGUUGGCUUAGAAGCAGCCAUCAUUUAAAGAGUGCGUAAUAGCUCACUAGUCGAGUGACACUGCGCCGAAAAUGUACCGGGGCUAAACAUAUUACCGAAGCUGUGGAUUGUCCUUUGGACAAUGGUAGGAGAGCGUUCUAAGGGCGUCGAAGCAUGAUCGCAAGGACAUGUGGAGCGCUUAGAAGUGAGAAUGCCGGUGUGAGUAGCGAAAGACGGGUGAGAAUCCCGUCCACCGAUUGACUAAGGUUUCCAGAGGAAGGCUCGUCCGCUCUGGGUUAGUCGGGUCCUAAGCUGAGGCCGACAGGCGUAGGCGAUGGAUAACAGGUUGAUAUUCCUGUACCACCUAGUAUCGUUUUAAUCGAUGGGGGGACGCAGUAGGAUAGGCGAAGCGUGCUGUUGGAGUGCACGUCCAAGCAGUAAGGCUGAGUGUUAGGCAAAUCCGGCACUCAUAAGGCUGAGCUGUGAUGGGGAGAGGAAAUUGUUUCCUCGAGUCGUUGAUUUCACACUGCCGAGAAAAGCCUCUAGAUAGAUAACAGGUGCCCGUACCGCAAACCGACACAGGUAGUCAAGAUGAGAAUUCUAAGGUGAGCGAGCGAACUCUCGUUAAGGAACUCGGCAAAAUGACCCCGUAACUUCGGGAGAAGGGGUGCUCUUUAGGGUUCACGCCCAGAAGAGCCGCAGUGAAUAGGCCCAAGCGACUGUUUAUCAAAAACACAGGUCUCUGCUAAACCGUAAGGUGAUGUAUAGGGGCUGACGCCUGCCCGGUGCUGGAAGGUUAAGAGGAGUGGUUAGCUUCUGCGAAGCUACGAAUCGAAGCCCCAGUAAACGGCGGCCGUAACUAUAACGGUCCUAAGGUAGCGAAAUUCCUUGUCGGGUAAGUUCCGACCCGCACGAAAGGCGUAACGAUUUGGCAGGACGGAAAGACCCCGUGGAGCUUUACUGUAGCCUGAUAUUGAAAUUCGGCACAGCUUGUACAGGAUAGGUAGGAGCCUUUGAAACGUGAGCGCUAGCUUACGUGGAGGCGUUGGUGGGAUACUACCCUAGCUGUGUUGGCUUUCUAACCCGCACCACUUAUCGUGGUGGGAGACAGUGUCAGGCGGGCAGUUUGACUGGGGCGGUCGCCUCCUAAAAGGUAACGGAGGCGCUCAAAGGUUCCCUCAGAAUGGUUGGAAAUCAUUCAUAGAGUGUAAAGGCAUAAGGGAGCUUGACUGCGAGACCUACAAGUCGAGCAGGGUCGAAAGACGGACUUAGUGAUCCGGUGGUUCCGCAUGGAAGGGCCAUCGCUCAACGGAUAAAAGCUACCCCGGGGAUAACAGGCUUAUCUCCCCCAAGAGUUCACAUCGACGGGGAGGUUUGGCACCUCGAUGUCGGCUCAUCGCAUCCUGGGGCUGUAGUCGGUCCCAAGGGUUGGGCUGUUCGCCCAUUAAAGCGGUACGCGAGCUGGGUUCAGAACGUCGUGAGACAGUUCGGUCCCUAUCCGUCGUGGGCGUAGGAAAUUUGAGAGGAGCUGUCCUUAGUACGAGAGGACCGGGAUGGACAUACCUCUGGUGUACCAGUUGUCGUGCCAACGGCAUAGCUGGGUAGCUAUGUAUGGACGGGAUAAGUGCUGAAAGCAUCUAAGCAUGAAGCCCCCCUCAAGAUGAGAUUUCCCAACUUCGGUUAUAAGAUCCCUCGAAGAUGACGAGGUUAAUAGGUUCGAGGUGGAAGCGUGGUGACACGUGGAGCUGACGAAUACUAAUCGAUCGAAGACUUAAUCAA